UAACCAAACUCUGUGUUUUGAGUAGGCGUAGAUUAGGGUUUCGUUGUUAUGGUUCCUCGACUCUUCAACCUCGCCGCACCGUUAACCUUAAGUCUCCAAACACAAUGAUUCAUUUUCUCAACUCCUAACCUUCCCUUAGGUUCAACAUAUUCUUCUUAAUUUCGUCAAUAAAUGUUGUUCAAUAACAAUCCCGACCUUUCUGUUUCCUUCCUAUACAUCAAACCUAUAAGUUAGAGCUCCUACUUCUUGACGACCUUCCAGAUUAAGGUAGAUGAUUCCAGUCACAUCACUGAUUCUCGAUUCAAGACCUUUGGCUGUGGCGCCUCCAUCGCCGCUUCUUCCGUCACUUCUGAAUGGGUUAAGGGAGAAACGGUAUCGGAAGUUUUGACUAUUAAUAACACGGCAAACGCAAAGCAUCUUCGCUUACCUCCGGUCAAGUUGCAUUGCAGUGUACUUACUGAGGAUGCCAUCAAGAAGAAGAAAGCAAUUGCUGAUGCAGCCGUGGCUUGAUUCUAUUGAUUCUACUGAUGAUGUUACGUCAUGAACUCCAUCUGAUUCCUCAUGUUAGAUAAAGGACAAAUAAACAUCUAGAUUUAGAUGUUGAUCCAUUUAUGUGUUCGUUUCUUCCAUACAUUUUCCGCCUUGGUCGGUCCUCUCACGUGGUUGUUGGUCGGCUCCUUCGUUUAUGGGAUUCAGCAAAACAUCAAGAAGAAUGAAGAGUUCAUGGGUAUUACCCUGGUGCUUCUUGAUAAAAAGGAAACCUCUACCUCAACUCCACACCGGUGACCCAAUUUUACUUUUGACCCAUCCAUUGCGGCUAUUGAAGUUUUCAGCACAAGAGGUUUGUGGUUCAGAGAGACAUCAUGGCUCUGAAACAUCAACAACAGCAACAUCACUUCUUUGUUGCAGAGAAUGUGGUAAAGGUUUCCCUUGUUCUAAAGCUCUUUGUGGUCACAUGGCUUGUCACUCUGAGAGAGAGAAGAUUUUCAUGGAUAGUUAAUCUGAGACUGAAACUUCUUCAUCACCUAUCAGGAGAAGAUCCAAGAGAGCUGUGAAACUUCAUCAUCAUCACCACAAGGCUGAUGCUUUUGUAAUUGGAGGAAGCAUCAUGAAUCAUCAAUACGGCUCAGCAUCUUCCGAUGACACUGGGAUUGAGUUUCAAGAAAGGACAUAACUCAGUUGUGAACCACUCUUUGUCUGAGUCAUUAGACGACUACUAUGUGAUACUUGAGACCAAGUCAUCUUCAGGAGAACAGGUGAAGAGCUUCAAUGUGAAGAAAGUUGAGGAGUUUUGUAAGAAAGACAAAAGUUGACAACAAUUUAAGGAAGAGUGUUAAGCAUACGCUCCCGUGCUAUAUUCCUUUUUAACGCAAACGACUACACAUUUCUGCGACUCAUAUUAGGAAGUGUCGAUAAUAUUUGUAGAAAAAAGUUUUGUACAGUUUGAUUCUUCGUUAUAAUGGACUAAACACAUGGAAUCAUAUAAAGACCUUA